rnacentral:lncRNA from 1 species
CCCGGCCCUCACCUGGAAGAGGCACGUUCUUUUCUUUGUUGCCGUUGGGGUGCUGGACUUUGCACACCACGUGUUCGUCUGUGCCCUGCAUGACGUCCUUGGAAGGCAGCAGCACCUGUGAGGUGGCUGCGUACUUGCCCCCUCUCAGGACUGAUGGGAAGCCCCGGGUGCUGCUGAUGUCAGAGUUGUUCUUGUAUUUCCAGGAGAAAGUGAUGGAGUCGGGAAGGAAGUCCUGUGCGAGGCAGCCAACGGCCACGCUGCUCGUAUCCGACGGGGAAUUCUCACAGGAGACGAGGGGGAAAAGGGUUGGGGCGGAUGCACUCCUGAGGAGACGGUGACCGUGGUCCCUUUGCCCCAGACGUCCAUGUAGUAGUAGUAGUAGUAAUCACAAUGGCAGAAUGUCCAUCGUAAUAUACGGCCGUGUCCUCGGCUCUCAGGCUGUUCAUUUGCAGAUACAGCGUGUUCUUGGAAUUGUCUCUGGAGAUGGUGAACCGGCCCUUCACGGAGUCUGCGUAGUAUGUGCUACCACCACUACCACUAAUAGCUGAGACCCACUCCAGCCCCUUCCCUGGAGCCUGGCGGACCCAGCUCAUGGCAUAGCUGCUAAAGGUGAAUCCAGAGGCUGCACAGGAGAGUCUCAGGGACCCCCCAGGCUGUACCAAGCCUCCCCCAGACUCCACCAGCUGCACCUCACACUGGACACCUG